UGGGGGAUAUUGCACAAUGGAGGAAACUCUGAUGCAGCAACGCCGCGUGAGGGAAGAAGGUCUUCGGAUUGUAAACCUAAGUUGUCAGGGACGAAAAAGAUGACGGUACCUGAAGAGAAAGCUCCGGCUAACUACGUGCCAGCAGCCGCGGUAAUACGUAGGGAGCGAGCGUUGUCCGGAUUUACUGGGUGUAAAGGGUGCGUAGGCGGGUUUGCAAGUCAGGCGUGAAAUACCGAUGCUUAACAUCGGGGCUGCGCUUGAAACUGUAGAUCUUGAGUGAAGUAGAGGCAAGCGGAAUUCCUAGUGUAGCGGUGAAAUGCGUAGAUAUUAGGAGGAACACCAGUGGCGAAGGCGGCUUGCUGGGCUUUAACUGACGCUGAGGCACGAAAGCGUGGGGAGCAAACAGG
rnacentral:rRNA from 2 species